rnacentral:misc_RNA from 1 species
UUGGGUGAAGUCGUAACAAGGUAGCCGUAUCGGAAGGUGCGGCUGGAUCACCUCCUUUCUAAGGAAUAUUACGGAAAUACACAUUUCGUCUUUACUUUGUUCAGUUUUGAGAGGUCUACUCUCAAUCAAAUAAAUUCGGGGCCUUAGCUCAGCUGGGAGAGCGCCUGCUUUGCACGCAGGAGGUCAGCGGUUCGAUCCCGCUAGGCUCCAUUGAUAGCUUUUGCUAUCAGAUUCGUUCAUUGAAAACUGGAUAUUGAAGUAAAAAGAAUCAAAACAAACCGAGAACACCGCGUUGAAUGAGUUUUUUAAUAAGUUCAAKUGCUUAAUUAUUGAUUAACCUUCUAUCGCUAGAAGAAGUGAUCAAGACCCAACCGUAAGGUUGAUAAGGUUAAGUGAAUAAGGGCGCACGGUGGAUGCCCUGGCACUCAAA